rnacentral:rRNA from 1 species
GACGAACGCUGGCGGCGUGCCUAAUACAUGCAAGUCGAACGCUUCUUUUCCCACCGGAGCUUGCUCCACCGGGAAAAGAGGAGUGGCGAACGGGUGAGUAACACGUGGGUAACCUGCCCAUCAGAAGGGGAUAACACUUGGAAACAGGUGCUAAUACCGUAUAACAAUCGAAACCGCAUGGUUUCGUUUUGAAAGGCGCUUUACGGUGCCGCUGAUGGAUGGACCCGCGGUGCAUUAGCUAGUUGGUGAGGUAACGGCUCACCAAGGCCACGAGGCAUAGCCGACCUGAGAGGGUGAUAGGCCACAUUGAGACUGAGACACGGCCCAAACUCCUACGGGAGGCAGCAGUAGGGAAUCUUCGGCAAUGGACGAAAGUCUGACCGAGCAACGCCGCGUGAGUGAAGAAGGUUUUCGGAUCGUAAAACUCUGUUGUUAGAGAAGAACAAGGGUGAGAGUAACUGUUCACCCCUUGACGGUAUCUAACCAGAAAGCCACGGCUAACUACGUGCCAGCAGCCGCCGUAA